rnacentral:misc_RNA from 1 species
UCAUCAUCAUCAUCAUCAUCAUCGCUUGAUAAUACAAAAGAAGCUGAAGCACCAGCACCACCACUUCUUUUUCCUUGAGCUUCAAGAAUGGAUUGUGAAUGUUAUAGAGUAUUUUCAACAUUAUCCUCUUCCAACCAAGGAUUAUCUGCACCAUCCAGCAAAGGAGACUCCCUUUCUUACAACCAAGGGUUUAGUGGAUCAUCUUCCUUGAAAAUAUAAUCCAAAUUUAUUGGAUUAUAACUUUUUACCAACUCUUCAUUGCUCUUCCUUGUUAAAUUCCUUAUCUUGAGUCUCAUAUUGUAAUGUACAAAGACAAGUGCAUUCAACUUUUGAUAUCGUAAUGAAUUCCUUGUCUUUGUGUGGAUAAGAGAAAAUGUGCUCCAAUUUCUUUAACAAGUAGAAGCUUAGGUUAUUUUGCUCAAUACUUUAAUUGCAAUUCUACAGAGUUUGGUAGCACUUUCUCCAUAAAGUAUCCACCACUCAGCUACAUUUAAGAAAAAAAUAAUAUAUUUUAUUGGUCAAUUAAAUAACAAUGUAAACAUCAAAUUAAACAUAAUAUUUGUUUUAUUUAAUAGUUUACUUGGAUCAGUGAACUUUAUAGCUUUUUGUGCUAAGGCAGUACCAAAGCUCUCCAUUUUAUAGGGAUAAAGGAUUGCUACACAAAAUUGUAAAUUAUAUAAUUAACAUCAAAUCAAAUAAAGGAUUACAUAUGAAGUUGUUUACCAUACUAUUUAAGCGCUAGCACUAACUUGAUUUAAUGCAAGGCCUUGAUUCGUUAAAUCCUUUUCUAAUUUCUAGAUAACAUUUUUAAGACCCAAUUGGAUUUCAUUAUCAUUACCAAUAUCAUGUGAUCCAUAUUGAUAUUUAGGGUUCAAAAAGUACCCUGCACCAUGCAAAGUAAAGGAAAAGAUUUUAGGUGGAUUUUAACAUUAUAAAUGAAUAUUAUAAGAAUAUAAAAAGUAAAUUCAUCAACUUACUAGCUGCAUGUAGUUGAAAAUUCCAUUAUGCAUCGAUUAUAUUCCAAUAAUCGAUAUAACUUUGGGAAUUUUGUUUAAUAGCCAACUUUGCUCUUUCCAUAGCUUCAUAUAUAAAACCCAUUAUUGGCUUUUCAUCCCCAUCCACCAUUCUUAAAACUUUUAGUAAUGGCUCUUGUAUAGCCAUGAUUUGUUGUGCAGACUCCCAAAAAUUCCUUCCAUCUCUUUCCAACCCAAGAACAAUUUUCUUAGCUUCAUAAGCAGGUCCACUGGUAGCUUGUCCAAAUCUACUUGCUGCCCUUUGCUCAAAUUUAAAUAUAUUUCUUAACCCUAACCUACAUCGAACCAGACUCUCCAAUGUAACAAAAUUAGUGGCAAAUCUAGUGAUGCCAGGGUGAAUAAUGUCAUGGCCAUCAGUGAACUUUUGGAUAUAAUUAACCACCCAAUUAUGAUUGUAAAUAAAUUGGGUGAUAGCUUUUGCCUGCUUAAUACACUCCAAUAUGAGGUCUAUGCAAUGUGCACUACAUGCUAUCCAAUACAGAUUUGGAAAUCUCUCCAUCAAUUUCUUUCCACUAGAUUUGAUGGCAGCUUUAUUAUUAGUGACCACUUGCACAACCUUUUCUGGACCAAUUUCUUCAACAACAUCUUUCAUAAGCUUGAAAUAAUAAUCUCCAUCUUUGCGCUCAACAUUGCUAGCAUCAAUUGACUUAUGGAAUACUGUUCCAUGACUAGAAUACACCAAGAAAUUGAUAAUACUUAUUCGAGUUGAUCCGCUCCAUCCAUCACACAUUAUGGUAACUCCCCUCUCAUUCCAAAUACCUUCAAAUACAAUAUAUUUCUUCAUUUCCUGGUAUUCAUUUUUCAGAAACACUUCUAAAAUCUCAUAUGUAGAAGGUGGUGAAACAUUAGGCCCAACUUCAGCAACUGCUCUCAGCAAUGGCCUAGUCCAAGGUGACUUCACAAUAUUAAAGGGUAGUCUGUUAUGGAUCACAAAAUUACCAAAUGCUUUUAGUAAUUUCUCUUUCUGUGUCUUUAACCAUUUGGUUUUUAAUUUUGGCUGCUUCCUCUGGCCUUUAUUCUUUUCUAACUCAAUUUUAGCAGCUGCUAAUCUAAAAGUCAGUGUUGAUGUCUCAACAUAUUUUUGAGCUUCCUUACCUCUCUCAUGAAUAGUAGCCAAUUGACCUAACGGUUGGUGAAGUCUUCGAGGAGCAUCAUGGCUACUACCACCAGCUUCAUACUGUGCACUAGCUCUCUUUCUAAAAGCAUCUUUAUCAAAUUGUCUUAUACUUUCUCUCCUCACCAAUUCUAACUCAAAAUCUUCAGCAUCAUAAUCACCAUCGUCAUCUAAUUCAACUUGGUUUUUACUUUAUAUUUUUUGGCAACCUCAAACUCCUUCAAGAUGGUAGCCAUAUCUUUCUUCACUUGAGUAGAAACUUUUCUUAGCCAAAUGCUGUUUCAAAUGUGUUAUUUCUCCAGUAA